rnacentral:rRNA from 1 species
UACGAGGGGUCCUAGCGUUGUUCGGAAUCAUUGGGCGUAAAGCGGAUGUAGGCGGAAAUAUAGGUCAGAAGUGAAAGUCCCGGGCUCAACCCGGGAAGUGCUUUUGAAACCCUGUUUCUUGAGUGUAGAAGAGGUGAGUGGAAUUCCAGGUGUAGUGGUGAAAUACGUAGAUAUCUGGAGGAACAUCGGUGGCGAAGGCG